UACUAAUCAACUACUAGCCUGGAAGAUAAAAGCCAAAGCUGUAAACAGACAGGUCAGCUUAACAAGUGCACAUUCUCUGCUGCCAACAGUACCAAUUUGUCAUCCAAGCAACAAAUAUUCCUUGGUAAUCUGCUAUCAGAUGACAGUUAUCUCUUUGGCAUUUUUAUGAAUUAAAGCUUUCAAAGCCAAACUUCAGAUUUGCUUAGCAUAUUCCUGUACUACAUAUCAACAAAUGUUUGAUGGUUUGUCUGGUUCAUCUCUUAACACUAUGAAGAUGGCUACACUAAUCUUAACAAGAAAACAUUCUGUUGCCAACAGUACCAAUUUGUCAUCCUAUCCAAGCAACUACUAUUCCUUGGUAAUCUGCUAUCAGAUGAUUACAGUUUUCUCUUUGGCAUUUGUAUGAAUUAAAGCUUUCAAAGCCAAACCUUAGAUUUGGUUAGCAUAACCCUGAACUGCAUAUCAACAAAUGUCUAAUGGUCUGUCUGGUUCAUUUCUCAAGACUAUGAAGAUGGCUACACAAUGAGUACAAAGUUUUAUUUUCAUUCACCAAACAAAUUUUACAAAAGAAGAAAAUAUUAAAAGCUAUAGGGUAUCAGCUAUCAGCAGUGCACCCCUAUGAUACACAAGUCUUCAUUGCCAAGUCACUCUGCCAAACAGUGUGUACACCUUUCUUGCAUUGGUAGUGACCCACUUUACUGUCAUGAGUCUGGAUAUGUCAGGCCAAGGAGAUCAAGUUUGUGUCCAAGGUUACUUAGUCAAUUCUCUAAGAAAAAUAGACAGACUCUACAUGCUACUGAUCUGGAGGUUAGUGGCUCAAUCAUUGUGCACUGAUUCUUCACUGAUGCCUUGAUUCUCCACUGUCAACUUUAUUGUCAUAAAGUUUAUCUAGUGAUCUACAUAUCAAGACUAAAUGGUCAAUUAAACAUGAGGUCAAGGAAAAAGGAUGAACAUUUCAAGGCUACUGAAGGAACAUUAAACGUCUCUCUCACUGUGAAAAGAUUCUACCGAUCUACAAAUGAUCAACAUGUUUUAUCUUAGGUUCGUCUGCCAUUUCUUCAAAUGGAGCCAUAUUAAGAAUAAGAUUCUUUUUGUUCUUCCUUAGGUUCAAAUGUAUCAGUUGUUUUUGUUGACAGAUAUCAAGUUUAGUUGCCUACCAGCAGUUUGGUGCUACAAGUCAACAACAGACUAAAUUAAAUAAAGCCAUGUCUAUUUCUACAUGAUUUUGUUGCUACUAACCUGGUGUUACUAACAACUAACUCGAAAAGGGAGAGGGGAAUUAUCAUCUUAUUCAUGUACUAUUUACAUUAGAUUUUUACCAAAUUAUUAAAUUUUUACUACCCUUACUAUUUUAACUGUGAAUAGACCUUGAUUUUAAUGAUUUAACUGUAUAGAAUUUAGCCCCUGUUAUGUAGAGAGAGAGAGAGUAGUCCUUAAGGGACUGCAGGCACGACAUGGCCUAAAUUGUGCAGAUGUGCAUAAAAUCAAAGAAAUAAAACAUUAACAAAAUGUGUAUUAUAAUUGUCACUUUUCCUCUACUUAGAAUUUUUUUCUCUCCUAGAUUUUCAUAAUUUUUUGUUGAAGUCAUUUCAGUUCUCAAUUAUUUUGUGCACCAAGUUACAAGAAAAAAUUUAAGCAAGAGAGGUCACUACACUAAGACUUUGUCUUCUCAUAAAGGAUGGCUGCCUGGUCAUGUGAUAUGUGCACUGGACUGUGUAUGGUCAUCUUGAUGCUCAUAUCUUGCCUGAUGACAUUUAUUCUGCUGAACAUUUGGUCAAGGAAGUAGAUUCUCUUCAGCUCUCAAGAAACAUUCAAAACAUGUCAAACAUUCGACAAGAAUAUCAAGUGCAAUGUACAUACCAACAUGAUGAAAAGGUAGACAACAUGAUGAAGAUGUAGACCAACAUGAAGAUGAAAUGUAAACCAAAAAAUGGGUCAAGAGAUGUAUGGAAUACAAUGUGAACAUCUUGAGAAGUAAAACAAUUCCUAGAGGCAAAGACACAGACACACCGGAUCUAUUAGAGAUUUUCCUUUUCUACCAUCAUUUAGAGACUUCCUUGUGCUCUAAGGGAACCUGUCAUUAUCUUUUGAUUGCUAAUUGGCAUUGAUGUUUUUACAUUCCUACUGCGUCUGAAAGAAAUUAACAUUUCCCUAAUGCUACUUCAAAACCAGACCUUCUCAAGACAAUUUUAGUGACCAAGCUGCAAUAUGGGACUCAGUAGGAAACAAUGAAGAAUGCUCCUAACCUCAGGUUGAGUAACCAUGCUCACCUACUAGAGUGGCGACAAAUACUUCUACACCCACAGUUAUACAUCCUGAACCCUGUAACCCAACCUCACAACAUGGUUACAUUACCGGAAGUGGUCGCAAGGUCAGAAAACCUAACAGAUACAAUGGAUAGAACAAUGAACAGGUACAAGUACUCAAGUGAUGUACUUUGUGAGAACUAUUUAGGUGGAAUCACCAUAAUUGACUUGUAUAAAUCUUGUUCUAUAUUUAGGUAUAUCUUGACAAUCAGUCCAGUCAUUUGUUCAUUUUUUUUUUAAAUAUUCCUUUUUUUUUCCCUCAAUCUUCUUGUUGUUUCAGUUACAUGUUUUUGUAUUUUGAAGGAGGAAGGUGCUUUGGUAUAUUAUCGUUAUUAUUAUUGUACCAGUAUUAAGCAAACUUGUAUAUCUUUAAUUAUUCAUGAAUUCUAAAGCAGAACGUCACUUCCACUGGAAAAUGUUGUAACAACUAUACGUGUCUUCAGUUAACAUUCAAUACUCUGUACAGUAACAACGCCAAGGCCUUGCUAGAUUAUGCUUUUAAUUCAAUUUGUUAUCUCCCCUGCUUUAGUGUGCUAUCAUAUAAUUUUUUGUGUCACAUCCCUGCACAAUUUGUUCUAUGCUUUUUUACAGUAUAAAUAGCGACUUGACAUUAUUUAGCUCUAUUAUAAUAUUGUUAUAUUAUUAUAUUUAAAAUAAAACUGUUAACAUAUUCUAUGCUGUUAUAAUAUAAAUGUUUUGCUGUUACCAUGAAUACAGUUUUGAGUUUUUGUCUUAUUUCUUAGAGGAGAAAUUUUUCAUAAAUAAUAAUAAUAAGGCUUAUCUUCAAGUCCGAAGAUUAGUGAGAAGUAUGCAGUAUUCCCCAGCUAGGACCUACAUAUUUUGCUAUAAAUAAAGAUUAUAAUAAUAUUUACUACUUGGUAUUGUCAGUCUUCACUAAAGCAAUGAGUUUAUCCCCUUAGUGUGUUUAAAAUUUUCAAAUACUAAUUCACUUUGUAUUAUCUAUUGGUGAUCAUGGGGUAUCCACUUUGUCAUCUCCAUAGUCUCUGGUGUUAACACUCACUGUCCUGUUGGAGGUUACGGCUAGGAUGUUAUCUCUCUUUCUGAUGGAACACAUGUAAAACCAACAAAACAAACAUUAGACCUAGACUUUAUUAACAGGUAAAUUUUUAUAAUUGUGAACUGGCGCUCCCAAAGCUACUUUUAUGUAUUUUUAAUUUUAUUUCUGUAGGCUAGUGCUAAGCUGUAUACUUGUAUUUCUGCCUAUUAUAUGGGUUAGGGUGGAGUACUUAAAAUAGAGCCUAUGCUGUUUCCUGUACUGUUGACCAGUGGUAUCUGUGUAAGUUUUAAUUAUUCUGUAACUGGGACUGCCUGUAAGUUUCAGAAUUUUUUUUUUAUUAUUCAAAAUUUUACUAUGUGUAAAUCUGUUUUGAACAACUGUCAAAAUAACUAGCUGUUUUUUUUUCUAAAGUUUGUUUUAAAACUAUGGCCAAGCCUCUGCCCAGUGCUGUCAUGAUGGCCACUUCUAAUGUUUAUGUACUAGAUUGUAACUGCUGCCUUAGUCAUUGAAAUUAAAGUCUCAUUUUUGAAUUUC